GACGAACGCUGGCGGCGUGCUUAACACAUGCAAGUCGAACGGAAAGGACCUGCUUUUGUGGGGUGCUCGAGUGGCGAACGGGUGAGUAACACGUGAGUAACCUGCCCUUGACUUUGGGAUAACUUCAGGAAACUGGGGCUAAUACCGGAUAGGAGCUCCUGCUGCAUGGUGGGGGUUGGAAAGUUUCGGCGGUUGGGGAUGGACUCGCGGCUUAUCAGCUUGUUGGUGGGGUAGUGGCUUACCAAGGCUUUGACGGGUAGCCGGCCUGAGAGGGUGACCGGCCACAUUGGGACUGAGAUACGGCCCAGACUCCUACGGGAGGCAGCAGUGGGGAAUAUUGCACAAUGGGCGGAAGCCUGAUGCAGCAACGCCGCGUGCGGGAUGACGGCCUUCGGGUUGUAAACCGCUUUCGCCUGUGACGAAGCGUGAGUGUCGGUAAUGGGUAAAGAAGCACCGGCUAACUACGUG
rnacentral:rRNA from 1 species